rnacentral:rRNA from 1 species
GAAUCUUGCGCAAUGGGCGAAAGCCUGACGCAGCCAUGCCGCGUGAAUGAUGAAGGUCUUAGGAUUGUAAAAUUCUUUCACCGGGGACGAUAAAGACGGUACCGGAGAAGAAUCCCCGGCUACCCUCGUGCCAGCAGCCGCGGUACUACGACGGGGGCUAGCGUUGCUAGGACUUACUGGGCGUAAAGGGCGCGUAGGAGGAUCGUUAAGUCAGAGGUGGAAUCCCGGGGCUCAACCCUGGAACUGCCUUUGAUACUGGCGAUCUUGAGUAUGAGAGAGGUAUGUGGAACUCCGAGUGGAGAGGUGAAAUUCGUAGAUAUUCGGAAGAACACCAGUGGCGAAGGCGACAUACUGGCUCAUUACUGACGCUGAGGCGCGAAAGCGUGGGGAGCAAACA